GUCUACGGCCAUACCACGUUGAAAGCACCAGUUCUCGUCCGAUCACUGAAGUUAAGCAACGUCGGGCUCGGUUAGUACUUGGAUGGGUGACCGCCUGGGAACACCGAUUGCUGUAGACU
rnacentral:rRNA from 1 species